rnacentral:tRNA from 1 species
GGAUGUAGCUCAGUGGUAGAGCACAUGAUUCUCAUGUAUGAGACCCAGGGUUCAAUCUCUGGCACCA